GAUGAAGAACGCAGCGAAAUGCGAUAAGUAGUGUGAAUUGCAGAAUUCAGUGAAUCAUCGAAUCUUUGAACGCACAUUGCGCCCGCCAGUAUUCUGGCGGGCAUGCCUGUUCGAGCGUCAUUUCAACCAUCAAGCCCCAGGCUUGUGUUGGGGACCUGCGGCUGCCGCAGGCCCUGAAAACCAGUGGCGGGCUCGCUGUCACACCGGGCGUAGUAGAUUUUAUCUCGCUCUGGGCGUGCUGCGGGUUCCGGCCGUUAAAAAACCCUUUUAACCCAAGGUUGACCUCGGAUCAGGUAGGAAUACCCGCUGAACUUAAGCAUAUCAAUAAGCGGAGGA
rnacentral:misc_RNA from 1 species